rnacentral:lncRNA from 1 species
ACACCAAAUCGAAACAAACAUGGACUCCAGUAGUAUGAUACAACCUCGACUGCGACAGGAAGUUAUUUUGGUGAUCUUGAAGAUAUUGAAGGAGAGUUAGAAAGGAAUAGCAGUAGAAGAGGCAGGGGCAGGGGCAGGGCUAGAGUUAAGACAACCAGUGGAACAGACAGAGGUGGAAGGGGAAGAGGAGUUUGGGGCAGUAGGUCCAGAAGCAGUGGUGGAAGCAGGGGUAGACGAGGGCAAGGCAGGGGUCGGGUGGUCGUGCAAAAGUACCAGGUUGUCCAAGUUAGACAAAGAAAGAGUCGAAGAGAGAUUUAAAGAAAGGUCAGACAAUGCCGAGGAAUUGGUGAAACGUAUGGACACAGAGAAGCUGAGGAAUCUGGUUCUGGCCUUACUGAAGAGGGAGCCGGGGCUUCUCUUUGAUCUUGUAGAGGAUGACGCCGUCAUCAUGACGGGACUCCACCACCAUCACCUCCAGGUUCUUCAGGCAACAUAGUACCAUCAUGGCGCAGAUGUAGUUUCUGCAGAGAAAUGCCCACGGAUUUAGAAAAAAAAAUGUUGUGGUUGUAUUCCACAAAACUGUGUGAAGCAGCGAGAUCAAAUGAACCGUAUUGUUCUUGACCCAGGAGUAAUGGCAAUAGGACAGGCCUACUACAGGGAUAUGUUGGGAAGACAUCGCCAACGAGUUGAAGAUUACAAUAGAACCAUGCGACAUGCAGGAUAUCGCAAUUUUACACUUUGGAGAUACGGACACUUGGGGGCUGGAAUCAGACGAGUGAUUCCUAGUUGCUGUGUUCUAGCUAUAAGGCAAACAUUUCCUUCAGCCUCAGGACAGUACACAGGCUUUGUGCCUGCAUGUUUCGUUUGAAUUACAUUGUCAUUUUACAGACCUUACCAUUUUUGUGCCAUGUGUAAUUUACUCAGAGGAGAAUAACCCAGUUUUCCAAAGCAUGGUCAAGACAGUCAUGUGAUUAUUCACCUAUACAGUGCCUUUUCUUUGAUGUAUAAAAGGAAAAACUGUGAAUAUAAAACCCUUAUGAAAGUUCUAGUUUAGGUCUUGGGAGACUUUUGUUCAAUUCAACUACUGAUGUUUAUCAUUUGAGUUUGUUUGCUUAUGAUUGACACUUUUGAGAUACAGUUUGUAUUGUCUUUAGACUACAGGAAAUCAUGAGGAAUUUUCAAGUGAUGUUAUUUUCAACAUCCAAAAAAAAGCUGAAGUAACUACAGUCUGUCAGUAAUAUAUCAUUUAUUAAUAACAGUCAUGAGUUCUAUCUACAUAUCAAAAGCUUAACAAUGGUUAGUUAGUGUCUUGUAAAAAAGAAGGGUGUCUAAGAAGUUUUUGGAAUUUGUUUUCAGUACUGAAAAAUUCAUCAGACAUGCUAGUCACACACAGAUUAGGUAAACCAACAAACGUAACAGUUUUACAGAAAUUAGUCUUUUGUUGUGUGCAUUUGUAUAAAGAAUUCAUUGUAAGCUUACAAAAAGUAACUCCACACAUAAAUGAAAUUGUUCCAUGAAUUUCUGAGACAUCCUUUGUAUUUUAUGAACAAGCAUAUGUAAAUUAAGCAAUUCUAGGUACAAAGAUUCAUGUGUUUCUAUGUAGAACUAUUUUUAUCAUAUCUUCACCGAACUAUAGAAUAAGUAAGAACAAAAUGUUUCAACAAAGUUUGGUCAGUAGCCGAACAGCCCUAUACAUUCUAUAGUUAAAACCAUAUAACUCCCAGCAUUUGAACAGUUUAGCUCCCAUUCACAUAACUGGUUCUUACCUUUGGUAGUAGGUAACAUUCAAGUAACCCUGACCUUUUACCCUAAAAAAAUAAUUGGGUAAGGUACACAUGAAGACCAAGAUAGCUAUGAAGUUUCAAGGCCCUAGGUGAAAUUCUUGUCCAGAUAUUGCACAGAAACCAUUUUCAAUGUUUGACCCAGUGACCCCGAAUAUACAAUGAGGUCAUGUACACAUCAAUACUAACAUAGGUAUGAAGUUUCAAAGUCCAAGGUGUAAUACAAUGUACUGUCCAGAUAUUGAGUGAACACAAAGUUAAAAUGUUCAGAUUCCUGUGACUCAGUGACCUAGAUAUCAUUUGAGGUCAUACAGAUGUUUACAUGUUCAGGUUCCAUUGACCCUGUCCUGAUAUCAUUUGAGGUCAUAUACACAUAAAGACCAACUUAACUAUAAACUUUCAAAGUCUUAGACAGUACUUGUCCAGAUACUGAGCGAAAAUUAUUUUCAAUGUUCAAGUCCCUGUGACCUUGACUUAGUGACCUUGAAAUCAUUAGAGGUCAUGUUCACAUCAAAACCAUCAUAAAUUUGAAGUGUCAAGAUCCUACGUGAAAUACUAAUCCAGAUAUUGAAUAAAAACAACCAAGCUAACAUGUUCAUGUCCCUGUGACCUUGACCUUUGAAGCAGUGACCUUUUAACAAAAAUGUUAAUGUACACAUAAAGACCAACAACAUUACUGUGAAGUU